UGGGGAAUAUUGCACAAUGGGCGCAAGCCUGAUGCAGCAACGCCGCGUGAGGGACGACGGCCUUCGGGUUGUAAACCUCUUUUAGCAGGGAAGAAGCGCAAGUGACGGUACCUGCAGAAAAAGCACCGGCUAACUACGUGCCAGCAGCCGCGGUAAUACGUAGGGUGCAAGCGUUGUCCGGAAUUAUUGGGCGUAAAGAGCUCGUAGGCGGUUUGUCGCGUCUGCUGUGAAAACGCGAGGCUCAACCUCGCGCCUGCAGUGGGUACGGGCAGACUAGAGUGCGGUAGGGGAGAUUGGAAUUCCUGGUGUAGCGGUGGAAUGCGCAGAUAUCAGGAGGAACACCGAUGGCGAAGGCAGAUCUCUGGGCCGUAACUGACGCUGAGGAGCGAAAGCGUGGGGAGCGAAACAGGAUUAGAUACCCUGGUAGUCCACGCCGUAAACGUUGGGAACUAGAUGUAGGGACCAUUCCACGGUUUCUGUGUCGCAGCUAACGCAUUAAGUUCCCCGCCUGGGGAGUACGGUCGCAAGACUAAAACUCAAAGGAAUUGACGGGGUCAUAGCUGUUUCCU
rnacentral:rRNA from 1 species